UGCAAGUCGAGCGAGACCUUCGGGUCUAGCGGCGAACGGGUGAGUAACGCGUGGGAAUAUGCCCUUCACUACGGAAUAGUCCCGGGAAACUGGGUUUAAUACCGUAUACGCCCUUCGGGGGAAAGAAUUUCGGUGAAGGAUUAGCCCGCGUUAGAUUAGGUAGUUGGUGGGGUAACGGCCUACCAAGCCUACGAUCUAUAGCUGGUUUGAGAGGAUGAUCAGCCACACUGGGACUGAGACACGGCCCAGACUCCUACGGGAGGCAGCAGUGGGGAAUCUUAGACAAUGGGGGAAACCCUGAUCUAGCCAUGCCGCGUGAGUGAUGAAGGCCUUAGGGUCGUAAGGCUCUUUCGCUGGGGAAGAUAAUGACUGUACCCAGUAAAGAAACCCCGGCUAACUCCGUGCCAGCAGCCGCGGUAAUACGGAGGGGGUUAGCGUUGUUCGGAAUUACUGGGCGUAAAGCGCGCGUAGGCGGAUUAGUCAGUCAGAGGUGAAAUCCAAGGGCUCAACCCUGGAACUGCCUUGGAACUGCUAGCCUUGAGUCCGAGAAGAGGUGAGUGGAAUUCCCAGUGUAAAGGUGAAAUCG
rnacentral:rRNA from 1 species